UGGGGAAUUUUCCGCAAUGGGCGCAAGCCUGAACCAGCCAUGCCGCGUGCAGGAUGACGGCCUUAUGGGUUGUAAACUGCUUUUAUACGGGAAGAAAAAGGCCUUGCGAGGCAAAUUGCCGGUACCGUAUGAAUAAGCACCGGCUAACUCCGUGCCAGCAGCCGCGGUAAUACGGAGGGUGCAAGCGUUGUCCGGAUUUAUUGGGUUUAAAGGGUACGUAGGCGGAUUUUUAAGUCCGUGGUGAAAGCCUGCAGCUUAACUGUAGAACUGCCAUGGAUACUGGAAAUCUUGAAUUCAGUUGAGGUAAGCGGAAUUUAUGAUGUAGCGGUGAAAUGCAUAGAUAUCAUAAAGAACACCUAUUGCGAAGGCAGCUUGCUGGACUUGAAUUGACGCUAAGGUACGAAAGCGUGGGGAGCGAACAGGAUUAGAUACCCCCGUAGUCC
rnacentral:rRNA from 1 species